rnacentral:lncRNA from 1 species
UUUUGAGAUCAAGUCUUGCUCUGUUGCCCAGGCUGGAGUGCAGUGGUGCAAUCUUGGCUCACUGCAACCUCUACCUCCCGGGUUCGAGUGAUUCUUCUGCCUCAGCCUCUUGAGUAGCUGGGAUUACAGGCUUGCACCCACCACCUCUGCUAAUUUUUGUAUUUUUAGUGGAGAUGGGGUUUCACCAUGUUGGGCAGGCUGGUCUCCAACUCCUGACCUCAAAUGAUCCACCUGCCUCGGCCUCCCAAAGUGCUGGGAUUACAGGCAUGAGCCACCAUGCUCAGCCCUUAGAUCUCAUUUGUGGUGGAGAUGGGUAGUUUUUAAAAAUGGAUGUUUCCAUGGCUGACUUCUGUGUUUCUCUUAUUUUUUUCUUUUAGGCAAAUAUGACUAGAGAUUAUCUAUCUUACUAUGCUUCUGUCUUUUACCAUUGUAUUACAUUUCUUUGCUUGCUCUUAAACUACUGAAGUGAUUAAUUCAGUAUGUCCACCUUAUGAACUAGAAGACAUAAUAUAAAUCUGAAUGUUAAUAUUGGAGCAAGUGGCCUUAAAUUAUGAAAUUAUGUUUUCUUGCCCUCUUGUGGACAAGUAAGAGUUUGUAGAUUUUAAAAUUUUUUCUGCAUUAACUUUAGAGCUUCAUUGCCAAUAUUCAUUUCAGAGAAUUGCAAAGCUGCUAUUGAGUAAUUUGGGUGCUUACAUAAAAUAUUUUGUUUUACUUUUUAUUUUGAUUUUGGUUUAAAAUAUCUGUAAAAUACAGAUUUUUAAAGGUUAAAUGAUUUAAGGAGGUUUACCUAAUUCUCUUGGUUAUUAAUAAAUUUUGGGGGGUGACAUAUAUCUUCAGUAAGAAUGUUCUACAAAAAGCAAUUGUUUUUGCAUAUUCUCAGAAGUGUUUUAUGGGUUAUGCAUUUAUUUUAUCUUUUCAAUGUUAGUAUAGUUGUGAAAUUUUCUGUUUUGCUGAUAAAGAGGAUUUUACCAAUAUACUUUAAAAUGUUUAGUUGUUUAACUCACUAUCAUCAACCAAUAGGUGGAAGAUAAUAUGCCGAUUCCUGAUAAUUUCUCUUAAAUGAUUUUCCAACAUCCUUACGUUAAUGUUUCAUGGCUGUAAAAGUUGGUAUGAAUAUUAGAUUGUUUUAGAAUCACAAACAUGUUUUAAAGAUGUAUGAUUACAAAAUUUUUUUGGUUAUU